UACGGAGGGAGCUAGCGUUGUUCGGAAUUACUGGGCGUAAAGCGCACGUAGGCGGCUUUGUAAGUUAGAGGUGAAAGCCCGGGGCUCAACUCCGGAACUGCCUUUAAGACUGCAUCGCUUGAAUCCAGGAGAGGUGAGUGGAAUUCCGAGUGUAGAGGUGAAAUUCGUAGAUAUUCGGAAGAACACCAGUGGCGAAGGCGGCUCACUGACUGGUAUUGACGCUGAGGUGCGAAAGCGUGGGGAGCAACAGG
rnacentral:rRNA from 1 species